CGUGCUGUGACGUCACUGAUGGGCGUUGUUUCGCCGGUUCCGCGUUCUCGCACCAUGUGCAGUAUAUAUAUAUACUAGUUUCCACACGAGGCGCCCCCUCUCCUGUUCACACUGCAUGCGAGGCGACAGCUGACGGCGCCGAGUCUCAACACUGAUUUUGAAAAACAGCAACGAUGCCGAUGUACACAAUCCUUGCACAUCUCGCCGUGACGCUGCUGUUGACGCAACUCCUUACAGCGACCCCGACCUCACGUGAGCUGGUCGCAGACAAUGGACAGCUUGAUCCGGCUCAAAACAUUCCAAAGUUAAAGUUGUUUCAAAAUGGCGGCGCAUGGAUCCGGAAACGACGUUCAUAUCGGCAUCACAACAACUACCGCCAUUACUACUGCAGAAAAUGCAAGUGUUGUGGAUUAAAAGAAGUCAUUUCUCGGUUCUAGACUUGGAGGUUAUGGAACUAUGCACCGGCACUAUCCAUUUCUUCAGUCUGGUGCCAUCAGCACACCUGGAGCGGAUGACUAUGCUUAUAUCUACUUUUUGGAAGAAUCUAUCCCGUGGAAUGUAUAUGAACCCCACGUCAAUAAGUAUAUAAAAUCAAAUAUUUGUUUAAUUUCGGAUAGGUACACGCGCGUGAGUGUUCGUUUGUCACCACCAGGGACAGUUUGACUUGACACCGUCGUUGUUUGUCGUGCAUGAUGUCGUCACGAUUACGUCGACCAUGAUGGCGUCGUACUUGGUCAGGUCUUAGACACACAGUGGCUUUAUCGAUGUCGUUGUAGACUUGGUUUUCGAAAUAUAUUUAAAAUGUU